rnacentral:rRNA from 1 species
UACGAAGGGGGCUAGCGUUGUUCGGAAUUACUGGGCGUAAAGCGUGCGCAGGCGGUUCGUUAAGUCAGCUGUGAAAGCCCCGGGCUCAACCUGGGAAUUGCGGUUGAAACUGGCGAACUAGAAUCUGGCAGAGGGGGGUGGAAUUCCACGUGUAGCAGUGAAAUGCGUAGAGAUGUGGAGGAACACCGAUGGCGAAGGCAGCCCCCUGGGCUGAGAUUGACGCUCAGGCACGAAAGCGUGGGGAGCAAACAGG